UACGUAGGGACCGAGCGUUGUCCGGAAUCAUUGGGCGUAAAGAGCGUGUAGGCGGCUUGUUAAGUCUUGCGUGAAAUCUCGGGGCUCAACCCCGAGCGGUCGUGAGAAACUGGCAGGCUAGAGUGCGGGAGAGGAGAGUGGAAUUCCUGGUGUAGCGGUGAAAUGCGCAGAUAUCAGGAGGAACACCAAUGGCGAAGGCAGCUCGCUGGGACGUGACUGACGCUGAGACGCGAAAGCGUGGGGAGCAAACAGG
rnacentral:rRNA from 1 species